CCGUCUUCCAUUUUUGCCACGCGUGUUCUCGUUUCUGCUUCAUUCGUUUGUGUAACUUCACGACUUCUUCUCCAUCAUCCGUGUCUGAUUCGUCUAUGGUAUGCACGUUUUGUCCCCACAGAAUUGUAUUUGGUGUGAGCACUUGUUCCUCUUCUUGCUCGCUUUCGACGUACGUCAGUGGCCUAUUGUUUACAUUUUACUCAAUAUCAAUUACGAUAGCUUGUAACUGGUCGAAACAUAAUGUCGAUCUUCCCAGAACUUUAUACAGGGCUUUUUUAAUGUCCUUAAGUAAGCGUUCGUACAUUCCACCCCACCAAGGGGACUUGGAUAGAUUGAAUCUCCACCGAAUCUCUUGUCUUGCCAAAUAAUCUUGCAGUCGUUCACUUUUACGUAUCUUUCUGAUCCAUAACGCUGUCGCUUUAAACGCUCCUCCGUUAUCCGACACAA